GGGACGGUCGGAUUAUUGGGCGUAAGCGCGCGCAGGCGGUUUCUUAAGUCUGAUGUGAAAGCCCACGGCUCAACCGUGGAGGGUCAUUGGAAACUGGGGAACUUGAGUGCAGAAGAGAAAAGCGGAAUUCCACGUGUAGCGGUGAAAUGCGUAGAGAUGUGGAGGAACACCAGUGGCGAAGGCGGCUUUUUGGUCUGUAACUGACGCUGAGGCGCGAAAGCGUGGGGAGCAAACAGGAUUAGAUACCCUGGUAGUCCACGCCGUAAACGAUGAGUGCUAAGUGUUAGAGGGUUUCCGCCCUUUAGUGCUGCAGCUAACGCAUUAAGCACUCCGCCUGGGGAGUACGGUCGCAAGACUGAAACUCAAAGGAAUUGACGGGGGCCCGCACAAGCGGUGGAGCAUGUGGUUCAAUUCGACGCAACGCGAAGAACCUUACCUGGGCUCGAAGCGCAGGGGACCGGGGUGGAAACAUCCCUUUCCGCAAGGACCCCUGCGGAGGUGCUGCAUGGCUGUCGUCAGCUCGUGUCGUGAGAUGUUGGGUUAAGUCCCGCAACGAGCGCAACCCUUAUCCCUAGUUGCCAUCGGGUCAAGCCGGGCACUCUAGUGAAACCGCCCCGGAUAACGGGGAGGAAGGUGGGGAUGACGUCAAGUCCUCAUGGCCUUUAUGUCCAGGGCUACACACGUGCUACAAUGGCCGGUACAAACCGUCGCAAACCCGCGAGGGGGAGCUAAUCGGAAAAAGCCGGCCCCAGUUCGGAUUGCAGUCUGCAACUCGACUGCAUGAAGCUGGAAUCGCUAGUAAUCGCAGAUCAGAACGCUGCGGUGAAUACGUUCCCGGGCCUUGUACACACCGCCCGUCACAUCACGAAAGUGGGCUGUACUAGAAGUCGGUGCGCCGACCGCAAGGAGGCAGCCGCCCAAGUAUAGCUCAUGAUUGGGGUGAAGUCGUACAAGUAAC
rnacentral:rRNA from 1 species